GACGAACGCUGGCGGCGUGCUUAACACAUGCAAGUCGAACGGAAAGGCCCCCUUGUGGGGUACUCGAGUGGCGAACGGGUGAGUAACACGUGAGUAACCUACCCUUGACUUUGGGAUAACUUCAGGGAACUGGGGCUAAUACCGGAUAGGAGCUCCUGCUGCAUGGUGGGGGUUGGAAAGUUUCGGCGGUUGGGGAUGGACUCGCGGCUUAUCAGCUUGUUGGUGGGGUAGUGGCUCACCAAGGCUUUGACGGGUAGCCGGCCUGAGAGGGUGACCGGCCACAUUGGGACUGAGAUACGGCCCAGACUCCUACGGGAGGCAGCAGUGGGGAAUAUUGCACAAUGGGCGGAAGCCUGAUGCAGCAACGCCGCGUGCGGGAUGACGGCCUUCGGGUUGUAAACCGCUUUCGCCUGUGACGAAGCGUGAGUGACGGUAAUGGGUAAAGAAGCACCGGCUAACUACGUG
rnacentral:rRNA from 1 species